GAUGAACGCUAGCUACAGGCUUAACACAUGCAAGUCGAGGGGUAACGAGAGGAAAGCUUGCUUUCCUUGUCGACGACCGGCGCACGGGUGAGUAACGCGUAUCCAACCUGCCCCCAACUAAGGAAUAACCUUGCGAAAGUAAGACUAAUACCUUAUAAUUUCCUCAGAUGUCAUCUGACGAGGAAUAAAGAUUUAUCGGUUGUGGAUGGGGAUGCGUCUGAUUAGCUUGUUGGCGGGGUAACGGCGCACCAAAGCAACGAUCAGUAGGGGUUCUGAGAGGAAGGGCCCCCACAAGGGAACUGAGACACGGCCCAAACUCCUACGGGAGGCAGCAGUGAGGAAGAUUGGCCAAUGGGCGAAAGCCUGAACCAGCCAAGUAGCGUGCAGGAUGACGGCCCUAUGGGUUGUAAACUGCUUUUAUACAGGAAUAAAGUUAGCCACGUGUGGUUAUUUGUAGGUACUGUAUGAAUAAGGACCGGCUAAUUCCGUGCCAGCAGCCGCCGUAA
rnacentral:rRNA from 1 species